rnacentral:rRNA from 1 species
UGGGGAAUUUUGGACAAUGGGGGAAAACCUGAUCCAGCCAUCCCGCGUGUGCGAUGAAGGCCUUCGGGUUGUAAAGCACUUUUGGCAGGAAAGAAACGUCAUGGGUUAAUACCCCGUGAAACUGACGGUACCUGCAGAAUAAGCACCGGCUAACUACGUGCCAGCAGCCGCGGUAAUACGUAGGGUGCAAGCGUUAAUCGGAAUUACUGGGCGUAAAGCGUGCGCAGGCGGUUCGGAAAGAAAGAUGUGAAAUCCCAGAGCUCAACUUUGGAACUGCAUUUUUAACUACCGGGCUAGAGUGUGUCAGAGGGAGGUGGAAUUCCGCGUGUAGCAGUAAAAUGCGUAGAUAUGCGGGGGAACACCGAUGGCGAAGGCAGCCUCCUGGGAUAACACUGACGCUCAUGCACGAACGCGUGGGGAGCAAACAGG